CAAUUACACCAUACUGUAGUUUAAAAUACCACGACAAAUGACAUCUCUGAGCCCAUGCCAACUCAGCUAGGUAUGGUUGCUCAAUAUUGACCUCCCUCCACCAAUAAGGUCUAACACAUGGGCAAGCAAUACUAUCGGGAAAUAUGAACAAAACAAUGAACCUCGUGAUUAUUAUCAGUAGCCUACAACAGGUCCCGUCUCUACAAAGCAUCUCCCCUCACCUCCAUCCUCUCAUGCAUUCAUCCAUUCUUAUCCUAUAGCACAGCCACUGGACUGGCACAUGCUGGCAGCAGAUCACAUUCACGCUGAGUAGGUAAUGGCAUAUGCUAGGCCUCAUCAUAGAUAGUGGUAUGGCCUCAUCAACCUCAUCUUCAGCGCGGCCUGAGAUGGAGGCUAAAAGAUCCCCUUCCUCCCACGUUUGUGACUUGUUGCAGUUCACCCACGUAGCGUGUCGUGCCACAGAGUCAUGGAGUAUGUUCUCAAUCUGAAUCAAAAUCAGUGGAAGUAAUUAUAAUCAUGUGAGCUUAAAUGCUUGGUAACCGUGAUUUCAAUGGAUUGUACAGGCCUUGAAAUACAAAAAUACGCUCGAAAAAAUAGCAUUAAUCAUCAUUUAUUUCUAGCUCUACGGUAUUAUCAACUAUUGGAUAGAGCUAUUGGAUGAUACUUUAUAGUCUAAUAAAGGUAGCGCUCACCUUUCCCCUGAGUUAGAGUGUUGGUCCAUUGUGUCCAGUGCACCGUGCUAGCUAGUAGGACCACUCCAAUGGAUGUGCCCUCAGAGUAUUAGAACUGUAAUGAAUGCACCACAUGGCCAGUGGGUAAAGAUCGUCAAACCAUUAGGUUUAAUUUUGUAGAUUUGAUAAACCUUUACCAGACACGCUCACACACAAGAUGGAGACGGCUGGUGAGGAAAAGCGUUCACUUGUCCUUCCCUCUAGGAGCUUCCAUAAGGCUGGAUAUCGGGUGGAUACUCCUCCAAACGACCAGCAGCAAUGGAUCACAAGGCAAAGAGCAUCGCAGCGAGUACAAUGAUGGAGAGCACGAGAGGGGCGGAGUCAGUGACAAGUUACUAUGACAACAUAUGAUGGAGGAGUUACAAGGUGACACUGUGGAGUUUGUGUACGACCCAUUAGACGUCUUGCACUGCAGAUAAAGGAACACAAUUAAGAAAUAGUGAGUACUGCCGCGUGCAGAGUGUGACUCUUUCCCCCACCAGAACUGUGAUCUGAGCAUGUCAUGUGAUAGGCCUUGUCUAGAGCUACAGAAUGCAUCUCUUAGUUUUUAUAUUGAUUGCUUUUUAGUGAAGUUCUGAUCUCCUGAAAGUUGCUUAAAUUGUACAUUUUAUGGGGAAAGCGUUGUGUUAUAUCAGGCCUAAGUUUGAGAGCCCCAUAUUUAGU